GACAGAGGUGCCGAGCGUUAGGCGGAAUCACUGGGCUUAAAGCGUGUGUAGGCGGGUCGUUAAGUGCCUUGUGAAAUCCCAUGGCUCACCCAUGGAACUGCUUGGCAUACUGGCGAUCUUGAGCCACUUAGGGGCAACCGGAACAAACGGUGGAGCGGUGAAAUGCGCAGAUAUCGGGAGGAACACCUAUGGCGAAGGCAGCUCGCUGGGACGGUACUGACGCUGAGACGCGAAAGCGUGGGGAGCAAACAGG
rnacentral:rRNA from 1 species